GUGCCGCCGCCGCCCCCUCGCGGCCGCCGCCGGUAGCGCGCGCCCCGCCCCGCGCAGGCCGCGCCGCCAUGGCCGCGCUGCACGCCAAGGCCGGCGGGCCCCCGCAGAUCCCCGACACCCGCCGGGAGCUCGCCGAGCUGGUGAAGCGCAAGCAGGAGCUGGCGGAGACGCUGGCAAACCUGGAGCGGCAGAUCUACGCCUUCGAGGGCAGCUACCUGGAGGACACGCAGAUGUACGGGAACAUCAUCCGCGGCUGGGAUCGGUACCUCACCAACCAGAAGAACUCCAACAGCAAAAACGACCGGAGGAACCGCAAGUUCAAGGAGGCCGAGAGGCUCUUCAGCAAGUCCUCGGUCACCUCGGCAGCGGCUGUCAGUGCUUUAGCUGGAGUCCAGGACCAGCUCAUUGAGAAGCGGGAGCCAGGCAGUGGCACAGAGAGUGACACUUCUCCAGACUUCCACAACCAGGAGAAUGAGCCCAAUCAGGAGGAUGCUGAAGAGCUGGAUGGCUCCGUGCAGGGGGUGAAGCCCCAGAAAGCUGCUUCCUCCACUUCCUCUGGGAGCCACCACAGCAGCCACAAAAAGCGGAAGAACAAAAACAGACACAGCCCGUCUGGCAUGUUUGAUUAUGACUUUGAGUAUGUAUAUUAGGUUAGGCUGGGAAGUUUUUUUUAAAAACAGAAAAGCGUGAUGGAGGAUUGAUCUCAAGUUAAACAAAAAGCCAAGAGCCGACUACUAGAGCCAUGAGUGCUGAUGCUCCUAGGAUUUUGGUCUGUGACUCCCCACUGAGAAGCCCUGAAGCAGGAUGGCAGCUGCAGCUGGAGUGACUCACUCUGAGGGACUUGGAUGGGGGGAGGAAAUCCUGGACCGUGUACUUUGCGUCAUUUUUAAAUCACCUGAGUUGCAGGAAGACUGAGGUGGUGUAGGUAGUAGUAGUAGUCCUGAAUUCCUGACUGUUCUGUGCUUCCACCUGGGUCGGGAACUGCUGAAAUGGCUGAUGCUGCUGCCCCCCUGCCACCUGCAGACCCACAGAGAGGCAUUUCCUUUGCCACUGGAACUGGGGUAGAAUUCAGUGUGUCCCAUCCAUGUUGUGAGACUUAGAUUACUUUUGUUGCUGAUAUUUAGCUUUGUAGGUUUGGUUUGGUUUUUUGUUGGUUUUAUUGUGUUUUUUUUAAAGCCAAAGUGUAUAGUUAAAAGUCGACUUUGAGUUUCUUUGUUUAAUCCUUGUAGUGGAAGGUUCUUCAUUUUGUGGAGCAGCUUGUUUGAUUCUUACUCAAGCAGAGAAGGUGGUUUAACCCUUUUCUCUUUCAUUUUAAACACCAUCUCCCAAGAUUCCACAGUGAUUUAGGUGCAGGAAGGGCCAGAGCUCAGAGCCAACUUGCUCUUUGCUGUCGCUGACUUUGGGUGGAUUCUCUUUUUAAUACAAACUUCUGUCAUUUGUACAUAAACAAUAAAAGUUCCAUGUUUGUCUCUUCCCAUGGUUCGUUCAGUCCAAA